AUGCAGUCGAGCGGUAGCACAGAGAGCUUGCUCUCGGGUGACGAGCGGCGGACGGGUGAGUAAUGUCUGGGAAACUGCCUGAUGGAGGGGGAUAACUACUGGAAACGGUAGCUAAUACCGCAUAACGUCGCAAGACCAAAGUGGGGGACCUUCGGGCCUCAUGCCAUCAGAUGUGCCCAGAUGGGAUUAGCUAGUAGGUGGGGUAACGGCUCACCUAGGCGACGAUCCCUAGCUGGUCUGAGAGGAUGACCAGCCACACUGGAACUGAGACACGGUCCAGACUCCUACGGGAGGCAGCAGUGGGGAAUAUUGCACAAUGGGCGCAAGCCUGAUGCAGCCAUGCCGCGUGUGUGAAGAAGGCCUUCGGGUUGUAAAGCACUUUCAGCGGGGAGGAAGGCGGUGAGGUUAAUAACCUCAUCGAUUGACGUUACCCGCAGAAGAAGCACCGGCUAACUCCGUGCCAGCAGCCGCGGUAAUACGGAGGGUGCAAGCGUUAAUCGGAAUUACUGGGCGUAAAGCGCACGCAGGCGGUCUGUCAAGUCGGAUGUGAAAUCCCCGGGCUCAACCUGGGAACUGCAUUCGAAACUGGCAGGCUAGAGUCUUGUAGAGGGGGGUAGAAUUCCAGGUGUAGCGGUGAAAUGCGUAGAGAUCUGGAGGAAUACCGGUGGCGAAGGCGGCCCCCUGGACAAAGACUGACGCUCAGGUGCGAAAGCGUGGGGAGCAAACAGGAUUAGAUACCCUGGUAGUCCACGCCGUAAACGAUGUCGAUUUGGAGGUUGUGCCCUUGAGGCGUGGCUUCCGGAGCUAACGCGUUAAAUCGACCGCCUGGGGAGUACGGCCGCAAGGUUAAAACUCAAAUGAAUUGACGGGGGCCCGCACAAGCGGUGGAGCAUGUGGUUUAAUUCGAUGCAACGCGAAGAACCUUACCUGGUCUUGACAUCCACAGAACUUUCCAGAGAUGGAUUGGUGCCUUCGGGAACUGUGAGACAGGUGCUGCAUGGCUGUCGUCAGCUCGUGUUGUGAAAUGUUGGGUUAAGUCCCGCAACGAGCGCAACCCUUAUCCUUUGUUGCCAGCGGUUAGGCCGGGAACUCAAAGGAGACUGCCAGUGAUAAACUGGAGGAAGGUGGGGAUGACGUCAAGUCAUCAUGGCCCUUACGACCAGGGCUACACACGUGCUACAAUGGCAUAUACAAAGAGAAGCGACCUCGCGAGAGCAAGCGGACCUCAUAAAGUAUGUCGUAGUCCGGAUUGGAGUCUGCAACUCGACUCCAUGAAGUCGGAAUCGCUAGUAAUCGUAGAUCAGAAUGCUACGGUGAAUACGUUCCCGGGCCUUGUACACACCGCCCGUCACACCAUGGGAGUGGGUUGCAAAAGAAGUAGGUAGCUUAACCUUCGGGAGGGCGCU
rnacentral:rRNA from 1 species